rnacentral:rRNA from 1 species
AGCAGCCGCGGUAAUUCCAGCUCCAAUAGCGUAUAUUAAAGUUGUUGCAGUUAAAAAGCUCGUAGUUGAAUUUCGGGAUUGACGUGACGGUCAUGCCUUAAGGGGUAUGAACUGUUACUGUUGAUUUCUCACCUUCUGGAGAAACUUGAUGUCCUUUAUUGGGUGUCUUGCGGAUCCAGGACCUUUACCUUGAAAAAAUUAGAGUGUUUAAAGCAGGCAUUUUUGCUCGAAUACAUUAGCAUGGAAUAAUAGAAUAGGACGGCAUGGUUCUAUUUUGUUGGUUUCUAGGAUCACCGUAAUGAUUAAUAGGGAUAGUUGGGGGCAUUAGUAUUCAAUUGUCAGAGGUGAAAUUCUUGGAUUUAUUGAAGACUAACUACUGCGAAAGCAUUUGCCUAAGGAUGUUUUCAUUAAUCAAGUAACGAAAGUUAGGGGAUCGAGGACGAUCAGAUACCGUCGUAGUCUUAACCAUAAACCUAUGCCGACUAGGAAUCAGACGAUGUUAAUUUUUAAUGUACUCGUUUGGC